rnacentral:rRNA from 1 species
AUUGAACGCUGGCGGCAGGCCUAACACAUGCAAGUCGAGCGGAGCGGGGGACGGGGGAGGAAUGCCUAGGAAUCUGCCUGGUCGUGGGGGAUAACGAUCGGAAACGGGCGCUAAUACCGCAUACUAUCAGAUUAGCCUAGGUCGGAUUAGCUAGUGGGUGGGGUAAAGGCCUACCAAGGCGACGAUCCGUAACUGGUCUGAGAGGAUGAUCAGUCACACUGGAACUGAGACACGGUCCAGACUCCUACGGGAGGCAGCAGUGGGGAAUAUUGGACAAUGGGCGAAAGCCUGAUCCAGCCAUGCCGCGUGUGUGAAGAAGGUCUUCGGGUUGUAAAGCACUUUAAGUUGGGAGGCGUUACCAACAGAAUAAGCACCGGCUAACUUCGUGCCAGCAGCCGCGGUAAUUC